GACGAACGCUGGCGGCGUGCUUAACACAUGCAAGUCGAACGGAAAGGCCCUGCUUUUGUGGGGUGCUCGAGUGGCGAACGGGUGAGUAACACGUGAGUAACCUGCCCUUGACUUUGGGAUAACUUCAGGAAACUGGGGCUAAUACCGGAUAGGAGCUCCUGCUGCAUGGUGGGGGUUGGAAAGUUUCGGCGGUUGGGGAUGGACUCGCGGCUUAUCAGCUUGUUGGUGGGGUAGUGGCUUACCAAGGCUUUGACGGGUAGCCGGCCUGAGAGGGUGACCGGCCACAUUGGGACUGAGAUACGGCCCAGACUCCUACGGGAGGCAGCAGUGGGGAAUAUUGCACAAUGGGCGGAAGCCUGAUGCAGCAACGCCGCGUGCGGGAUGACGGCCUUCGGGUUGUAAACCGCUUUCGCCUGUGACGAAGCGUGAGUGACGGUAAUGGGUAAAGAAGCACCGGCUAACUACGUGCCAGCAGCCGCGGUGAUACGUAGGGUGCGAGCGUUGUCCGGAUUUAUUGGGCGUAAAGGGCUCGUAGGUGGUUGAUCGCGUCGGAAGUGUAAUCUUGGGGCUUAACCCUGAGCGUGCUUUCGAUACGGGUUGACUUGAGGAAGGUAGGGGAGAAUGGAAUUCCUGGUGGAGCGGUGGAAUGCGCAGAUAUCAGGAGGAACACCAGUGGCGAAGGCGGUUCUCUGGGCCUUUCCUGACGCUGAGGAGCGAAAGCGUGGGGAGCGAACAGGCUUAGAUACCCUGGUAGUCCACGCUGUAAACGGUGGGUACUAGGUGUGGGGUCCAUUCCACGGGUUCCGUGCCGUAGCUAACGCUUUAAGUACCCCGCCUGGGGAGUACGGCCGCAGGGCUAAAACUCAAAGGAAUUGACGGGGCCCCGCACAAGCGGCGGAGCAUGCGGAUUAAUUCGAUGCAACGCGUAGAACCUUACCUGGGUUUGACAUGGAUCGGGAGUGCUCAGAGAUGGGUGUGCCUCUUUUGGGGUCGGUUCACAGGUGGUGCAUGGCUGUCGUCAGCUCGUGUCGUGAGAUGUUGGGUUAAGUCCCGCAACGAGCGCAACCCUUGUUCACUGUUGCCAGCACGUUAUGGUGGGGACUCAGUGGAGACCGCCGGGGUCAACUCGGAGGAAGGUGGGGAUGACGUCAAGUCAUCAUGCCCCUUAUGUCCAGGGCUUCACGCAUGCUACAAUGGCUGGUACAGAGAGUGGCGAGCCUGUGAGGGUGAGCGAAUCUCGGAAAGCCGGUCUCAGUUCGGAUUGGGGUCUGCAACUCGACCUCAUGAAGUCGGAGUCGCUAGUAAUCGCAGAUCAGCAACGCUGCGGUGAAUACGUUCCCGGGGCUUGUACACACCGCCCGUCAAGUCAUGAAAGUUGGUAACACCCGAAGCCGGUGGCCUAACCGUUGUGGGGGAGCCGUCGAAGGUGGGACUGGUGAUUAGGACUAAGUCGUAACAAGGUAGCCGUACCGGAAGG
rnacentral:rRNA from 1 species